ACAAAUGGAAUAAAAAAAAAAAGGAAGAUAGAAAAGAAACAGAAUGAAACGAAACAGAGAGCAGGGGAGAAAAAGAAAGAAAGAAAAGAAAGAAAUGGGGAAAAGGGAAAAUUGAAGGUUUGAAGCUUUAAGCUUUAAUAGAUUUGCCAACUGCUUCAAACUGGGUGAGAAAGGUGUGGAGAAUGAUAUAGAUGUAGAUGACAGCACUUCAGUAGAGGAAGUCUGAAUCAAUUUGGUCACUGUACUAAAAGAUUACCUUCAGUUGGAAUUGUUGGAUUGGGCAAGAUCGGACCAGCAAUAGCAAAAAGAGCCGAAGCUUUCAACUGCUCUAUCAGUUACCACUCGAGAUCUAAGAAACCAAAUACAAAGUACAAAUACUACUCAAAUACAAAGCCUAGAUAACCAGAAGGAAAAAUGCGUAGAAGAAGAUUACGAGAUUUAAGUAUUGUCCAGAAUACUCCAAAUUCGGAAGAAGGAAAUAGUGAACAGCAGACAGUUGUUGGAUCUUCGAAUAUGCCGGAGACACUUGAUGAGCCUGAAGAAUUUCAAACUAAAAGUGGUGGGACGCGCAGAGUUCGAGGACGUACGCUGCUUAGAGAUUUAUACGACUUAGAUCCUGUCGAGUGUGUCAAAGUAAGUAGAAAUACCCAUGGUCAGCCUGUUGGAUCUGAAGCUCGACUUUUAGCAGGCUAUUUGGGCAUUUUAGCACGAAAUGCCAAUAUGUUGCCCAUUAACUACGAAUCAUGGCAUCACAUUCCUGAUAGCAACAAAAAUCAGGCUCUCGCUAAUAUUAAGGUAACAAAAUGUGAAUGUAAUUUAUAAUACUUUGGUUUAAGUUUCAUUUAUAUUUACAUUCUAAA